rnacentral:lncRNA from 1 species
GGGACCGGUGUUUGGUGCUGGGGCCUCAGUAAGUCUGGGUCGGGUCUGAGAGGGGCAGCCAGAAGAGCUGUUUCUGUGCUCAUUAAAUGUAUGUGUGGGGCUUGUAGGGUGGAAAUUCCACCCAGAAACAUCCAGGGUGCCUCUCUCUGGUUUCUGCAUAGUCACUUGACACUGCCUCCGUCAUCCCAGCCUCAGUUCAAAUUCCCCUCUCCCCAUAAAAGGAGGCCACCGUGAGAAACCGGGUCCAUCUUUGCAUCUCAUUUACAUAAAUAUUUAUUAAUCGUCAUUAAACUGAACAGAAACACGCAAUGCACUUCGGGUGUCCGACGGGAAAUUUCAUCUUCGCUACAAGAGGAAGAGGGCAGCCUCGGCACAUCGAUUUCGGCUUCUCCAACUAUGGGUCCAAACUGGGCUGGAGGGGAGAGAAGGUCCAGGUCCAAUGCCAAGCAGGAGAGAAGACCGCGCACGUGCAUGCUAACGAUCUUGCCCUCUUUCAUCCUGAAUGUGUUAAAGACAGCAGUAAAGAACGAGCGAUGUGUCAGACGGCGUUUGAAGCAGGCUCUAGGCAAAGCGGCUGAAGCCUUCUGAACCUCACUUGCCUCCUCUGUAAAAUGGAAUGAUACUAGUGAGGAUCAAAAGAGAUCAUGCAUAUAAAGAUCCCAGUCCAGUGCCCAGCACAGAGUAAAUGCUUUAUAUACAUCACCCGUUGUCAAUUUCUAUGACGUAUUUGCCUCCUUUCUUCAACCCAUGCUCUC